GAUGAACGCUGGCGGCGUGCCUAAUACAUGCAAGUCGAGCGAACAGACGAGGAGCUUGCUCCUCUGACGUUAGCGGCGGACGGGUGAGUAACACGUGGAUAACCUACCUAUAAGACUGGGAUAACUUCGGGAAACCGGAGCUAAUACCGGAUAAUAUAUUGAACCGCAUGGUUCAAUAGUGAAAGACGGUUUUGCUGUCACUUAUAGAUGGAUCCGCGCCGCAUUAGCUAGUUGGUAAGGUAACGGCUUACCAAGGCAACGAUGCGUAGCCGACCUGAGAGGGUGAUCGGCCACACUGGAACUGAGACACGGUCCAGACUCCUACGGGAGGCAGCAGUAGGGAAUAUUCCGCAAUGGGCGAAAGCAUGACGGAGCAACGCCGCGUGAGUGAUGAAGGUCUUCGGAUCGUAAAACUCUGUUAUUAGGGAAGUACAAAUGUGUAAGUAACUAUGCACGUCUUGACGGUACCUAAUCAGAAAGCCACGGCUAACUACGUG
rnacentral:rRNA from 1 species